rnacentral:rRNA from 1 species
CCUACGGGUUGCAGCAGUGGGGAAUAUUGCACAAUGGGCGAAAGCCUGAUGCAGCGACGCCGCGUGAGGGAUGACGGCCUUCGGGUUGUAAACCUCUUUCAGUAGGGAAGAAGCGAAAGUGACGGUACCUGCAGAAGAAGCACCGGCUAACUACGUGCCAGCAGCCGCGGUAAUACGUAGGGUGCGAGCGUUAUCCGUAAUUAUUGGGCGUAAAGAGCUCGUAGGCGGUUUGUCGCGUCUGUCGUGAAAGUCCGGGGCUUAACCCCGGAUCUGCGGUGGGUACGGGCAGACUAGAGUGCAGUAGGGGAGACUGGAAUUCCUGGUGUAGCGGUGGAAUGCGCAGAUAUCAGGAGGAACACCGAUGGCGAAGGCAGGUCCCUGGGCUGUAACUGACGCUGAGGAGCGAAAGCAUGGGGAGCGAACAGGAUUAGAUACCCCUGUAGUC